GAGACAUGGAAGAAUUUGUAUGCCUUUUGGAACAGCAUGGGUUCAUGAUACAUUGCUUGUUUGAACAACACACUUGGGAGCUAGUGUGAUGGCUGAUGGGCUCAAAGGAUGGAUGGGAAGAAGAUGCCAUGAGAAGGCUCAUUCUUUUAAUGUCCUAUCAUCUAAUCUUUUGACUAAAACUGAUUUGGCAAAGAGGACCCUUCCCUCUACAGUUUAAAAGCAAGGCUAAAUGUGAUUGGUGAAAUUCCUGGAGGUGCCCCUAGGCACUUUUGAGAGCCUGUAUAAACACAGUCCAGAUCCCAGUCAU
rnacentral:lncRNA from 1 species